AAGCUGUGUGGAAUGUAUAAAUACUGCUCCUGUCCUGCAAUAAACGGCUCCUACUCCUGCUGUAUCAACGUAAACAAGUUGUUCGUCACCCCCCCCCCCCUGCAGCCGGACUGCGGCAGAUGGUGGCCCGUUAUGGGGAGCCCCAGGACACUCGGGGGUAAGUGACGGGGGAAAAAAAAAGCUUCCCGUCCAUAGAUAGGACGGGAGCAAAUCUGCUCGUCCCCAGGCAGAUAGGGCAAGAGAAAAAAUGGCGAUUUUGAGAAAAUGGAGAAGAUUGAUACAGUAUGUUUGUGUCUUGUUUUGUCUUGAAAUGUUGUAUUGUCUUUGUGAUGAAAAUAUGGAAGGGGUGAGAAGUAAAUUACUAAGGGAAGGAGGCACCCCAGUGAAACCAAGAAUAAUUAGGGCAUGUGUUGAUAAGAGCCCAGGAACUCUAGUCAGAAAGAAAAAGAAAGUUCAGAAGAAGAAGGAUUAUCAGGAAAAAAGUUGCAGCAAAAGGCUAUUACUAAAUACUUUUCAUUACCGGAGGGUGCGUGAAGCGGAGAGGCGGCUGCCGAGUGUGCAAGCUGGUCACAGCGCAGCAAGGAUUUUCCAAGAGGCGGCGGCGACUGGCCCUUCCCGCCUCCUGGCCGGGGAGCUGGCUCUUCCACUGCUGCGAGCCCAAAUCUAGACCUGACCUGGAGGCACAGUCUCGCAGGCUCUUGCUCCCUGUGCCCAGUAGCAGUUUGAGUCCGGGACACUCCCCAGGGCGAUCUGGGGCUACCCAGGCGCUACAGCCAACAGAAGACACUACCAGCGUCCCUGAUGUUUGGUCAUUUUCAAUGCCAAUAACUAAGCUACAAUGGUUCUCCCACACCUGGAAGCUGAUGAGUAAUGAGCACUAUUAAUGCUUAUUUCAAAUGUAAAAAACCUUGAGAUAAUAUACUAAAUUGUUCAGAAGGUUGUUUUCUUAGUAGAAUGCUACAGGAUUUUCUUUAGCCUUCGUCCCAGUGCCGGUAAAGACCAAGGUGGAAGAAUUUCCAGUGUUGCUGAAAACCGGACGAAACUUCAGCUGAGAAACAGACGACACUUCGGAGCUGUUGCUGUUUCUGCUACUACAGCUUAGGCUAGCUGCCUGCAAAACUUACCUGGACUGUGAUUUAAGCUAGCUUCCUGCAGAACUUACCUGGACUAUGAACUUACCUGGACUGUGAGUUAAUCUAUUGAGACACUGCUUUAUCUGGACUGAGACAACAAACUGUAAUCUACAACAAAUUGUAACUCGGUAUCUUUGCUAACGCUGUCAUUGCUGGUAUAAUUUUUCCAAGGGCUUCUUGCAUGGAGCCAUCAAUUGGCUUGGUAUUGUGGCAUUUUGUAUCCUCCCUUUCUGUUUGUAGCAGGUUAUUUAUGGUGUUUCUGUAAAAACCACUAUGGUCGUUAUUUAUAUUAAACAAAAGGGGGAAAUGUUAGAGUCUGUAAACAAGUCAAAAUUACACCUGGCAUUUUGCCAGGGGAAUGUUAGAGUUCGUAAACAAGUCUGGAUGGUGCCUGGCAAAAUGCCAGAGGGAGUGGUUUGAGAAGUAACAAAAGCGAGCCAUUAAGUGUGGAGAUUUCUUAUUGGUUGACUAAUGUAUCUAGUUCAUGCUAAUUAGAUAAGCUGUGUGGAAUGUAUAAAUACUGCUCCUGUCCUGCAAUAAACGGCUCCCUCUUCUGCUGUAUCAAUCUACACAAGUUGCUCAUCACCCCCCCCCCCACUCGGUUAUUUUGCUGCAGCCGGACUGCGGUAUAUAUAUAUAUAUAUAAUGUAAUAUAUAUAUAUUACAU
rnacentral:lncRNA from 1 species